rnacentral:rRNA from 1 species
AUGGCCCUCACAUGGUUAUGGGUUGUUGUCCAUUAUAUAUCCUUUGCCCAUCUUGCCAUGUUCACCUUGCAUGAUAUGCCCAUUCGUAUGCCUUUGCCAUGCAUUUGUGACCCAUGCUUUGCAUUACACAUGAUGAUUGAUUCUAGUACUUGUAUGUGUAUUUGCAAGCGUGUUGGAGAUAUUGUUUGUUAUUGCCAUGAUUGCUUUGUGCCCCACGCCUAUGAUGAUACUAUGAGCUUGAUUUGUGUUCGUGCUUGCGAUAUGUCAUGUACAUUGCCUAUGCCUAUUCUUUGCUCAAAUGACAUGAUUGCCAUGAUUUCCUCUAGUGUGUUGCAUCUUCGCUCCACUAGUUUGCACGACUUGAUUACUAUUGCUUGCCUUGCUGCAUCACCAAUGAUUUAUACUUGCUCACUUCAUGCGGUUUAUGACAACUAUCUACAUGCUUGCACAUGA